AAAUCUAUUGCAAGUGGUCUUUAAAAAGCAAAACCUGAGGCAGCAUGACCCAGGUCCAGCCAUGAAGUUGAAAAAGAUCCUCUUGAAUAGAGUAAACUUGAAGACCUCCAACUAAAAAUCCUUACACUGCACUUUUCCUUCAAAUAAGGUUUUGUCCGUUCAACUUAUGGAUUUAACGUGGCAGUGCACCAUUGGAACAGAAUGAGAAUCCAUAAGCCAUGCAACUUAACCAUUUAAGCCAUUCCAGUCCAUCCCAAGCCAGUGAAUCUUCCACCACUUAAGAGAAGUAGUAGAACAUGAAAUACAUUAAGCUGCAAGUCUGAACUUGCCUUUGCUUUCUGGAAAAGAAGGCAGUUAUAGGCACAUUUUGAAGAAUUUGCCUAAGAUAACUGGUUUUUCAUGUAUUUAAUUUUUGCAGGUUGAGGACUAUGGUCAUUGUGGUUCAUGGAGUGCUGAUUUAUUCACAGUAGAUAAAGCUGGCAUCGAGAAAUCAAAAUGCUAAGAGUUGUUGAAGCAGAAGAAUGCUGACAAUAAGGCACAACAGUUGCAUAAGCAGUGUUCAUCAGAAUUGGUUUGGCACAGGCAGUAGGUUUUGCCUUCCAGGGUUUUUGUGAAUCUGAGGAAGGCAUCAGUGUUGAUUAACACUCUUAACUAGGGAGUGGUAGUUACUUAAAAUUGACCAAAUGGAGAAAGGGAGAGAAAUUGGUAAGUGGAGAGAUACUCAGGAAGUUCUUGUGGCUAUUAGUGUAGAUUUAUAGCUUUGGCUUUCAUUUUAUUUAGCUAAAGUCAUGGAAGCAACUCUGCACUUUGGAAAAAAUAACACCAAAAGCAGAAAGUUGAAUUAAGGGCUGUGGGGAUAAGCACUUGCCUAGCAUGUGUGUAGCCCUGGAUUUGGUCACCCAACACCACAAAAAAUGUUGAAUCAAAAAGUGACAGCUAUAAGUAGUAACUCUUUACCCAGUAGUGUCUGAUUUUCAGUAAGUGGAACAUUUUUUAUUAGUUUAUCAGAGAAAAUGGUUGUUUACAACAAAACUAAGGAGAAACAUCAAGAAACAAAAAACAACUUGAAACAUUGCUAAGAUGAUGCAAAGUACACUUGAAACUGGAAACAUUGGCUACUUGAUUGCUAUAUUGGUAAUCUUACUUUAUUAUCCUCAGCUCCCAAUUUUGAAAUUCUAAUACUUUAUUGCUUGGGAGACCAGAGCCAGUAAUACAAAUGAUAAUGUUCUCAAGGGAACACUUGUUCAGUUAGAGGAGCCAACUGAAUUUUUGAGGACCCCCCCCAUAAUAUAAUUACUAUCAUGCUUAACAUUUGUGAUUGGCAAAAUAAUUCAAAAUUUUAAGCCUCGUUGGUUUACACUCCUAGUCACUGACCAUGAGGAUACUGACCAAAAUUAAGUAGUUGUACUUGAAUACAGAUCUUAGUUCGAGUCUUCCAUAAUCUAAUUACUUAGUGCUUCUGUGAGGGCUUUUUGGCCCUUGAGAUUUUCUUUAGAUUUCUAAGAUACUGUAGAAUAGAGACUAAUUGUAUGAAUGCUGAAUUCAAAAGAGUAUGCUUAAAUGACUAGGUGCCUUUUUGGCAAACUUUACAGACCCUUUAAUUUUGCUCCCAUUGAGAAAAGAAUCGGUCUUGAUUCAUCUGGCUUUAUACUGGCUGUAAAAGAAAUGGAAUGGUAAAAUGUCUUCCAAAAUGUCUUCAUGUUUGACUGGUAAUUAAACAGAACUCUUAGGUAUUAUAGAUCAUGUCUUUUGGAAUGUUUUUGUAUUGAAUUUUAAUAAAACUUUAACAUACA
ensembl:lncRNA